AAAAGCGAAAGCAAAAGCAAAAUUAAAUGUUGUCUCCUCUCUCACGCUUAUCACCUUCCACCAAACAGAACACUAAACCAGACUUUCUCCACCUAUACAAACCUUCUCUCUCCAUUACUCCUUACAAAAUUAUUGGUAUUUAACCACCACAACAAACUGUUUAUUUAAAAUGUGAAAUAUGUUUAUUAUGACACAGAGUAAUCAUAUUGUUGCUCUGAAAGAAAUCUUUAAGACCCAAUUGCAACAAUCUCAAGUUGAGCAUCAGCUUCGUCCGAGACAUCCCCAUAUCUUGCGACUUUAUGGAUACUUUUAUGAUCAGGGCUAUCAAUUUUGAGGAUGCAUUGUCAAUUGGAUCAUUUCAUGUUAUGAAAAAAGGAAUACGUAUUUGCGGCGGGGAACUUAGGCCCAAAACGUUCAUCCAUAAUAAAUUUUUCACCUUGGGCAAUUAGGAGAUAUCCAAAUUUUCGAGGGUACUUCUUUGAAUACAUUUUGACUUCAGGGAGAAUUUUGGCCUGUUAUCUAUGAUGGUGAUGCACCAAAUAAGGAAGCAGGCUUCGAUAAAGAUUCAUCCAGAAAUUGCUCAACCAACUCAUUGGAUAUCAAGUUGGUGAAGGGUAAAAUUGUUUUAUGUGAAUUGUGAAGAUAAAAUAGGACUUUCUGAGGCUUACAGAGUUGGUUGCUGUUGGUGUCUUGGUACAAGGUCGAAUAUCUAAUGAUAACCCAUACUCUUUUCCCUUGUCUGGAUGCUACCUUAAAUCGAAAGACGUUGCCAAAGUACAUAAAUAUAUCAAGUCUACAAGGAAUCCGGUAGCAACUAUAUUUAAGACAUAUGAGUUAAAUGAUACGUUGGCACUUAUGACCGCCUCUUUCUCGUCAUGGGGUCCUAACGAUGCUACACCAGAGAUUCUAAAGCCUGAUUUAAUUGUUCCCGGAGUAGACAUUCUAACUAGUUGGUUUCCAAUUGCUCCAAUUUCUGAAAUUCACGGUGACAAAAGAAAAUUGGAGUUCAAUAUUGUGUAUGGAACAUCAAUGUGGUGUCCUCAUGUUUUUGGUGCAGCAGCAUAUAUAAAAUCC